GACGAACGCGGCGGCGUGCUUAACACAUGCAAGUCGAACGAAGAGCGAUGGAAGCUUGCUUCUAUCAAUCUUAGUGGCGAACGGGUGAGUAACGCGUAAUCAACCUGCCCUUCAGAGGGGGACAACAGUUGGAAACGACUGCUAAUACCGCAUACGAUCUAACCUCGGCAUCGAGGAUAGAUGAAAGGUGGCCUCUACAUGUAAGCUAUCACUGAAGGAGGGGAUUGCGUCUGAUUAGCUAGUUGGAGGGGUAACGGCCCACCAAGGCGAUGAUCAGUAGCCGGUCUGAGAGGAUGAACGGCCACAUUGGGACUGAGACACGGCCCAGACUCCUACGGGAGGCAGCAGUGGGGAAUCUUCCGCAAUGGACGAAAGUCUGACGGAGCAACGCCGCGUGAGUGAUGACGGCCUUCGGGUUGUAAAGCUCUGUUAAUCGGGACGAAAGGCC
rnacentral:rRNA from 1 species